AAAGGAAUUGACGGGGGCCCGCACAAGCGGAGGAACAUGUGGUUUAAUUCGAUGAUACGCGAGGAACCUUACCCGGGUUUGAAAUGUAGAUGCAUAAGACAGAGAUGUCUUUUCCUUUCGGGGCUUCUAUGUAGGUGCUGCAUGGUUGUCGUCAGCUCGUGCCGUGAGGUGUCGGCUUAAGUGCCAUAACGAGCGCAACCCUUGCCAAUAGUUGCUAGCAGGUCAAGCUGAGGACUCUAUUGGGACUGCCACCGUAAGGUGAGAGGAAGGUGGGGAUGACGUCAAAUCAGCACGGCCCUUAUGUCCGGGGCGACACACGUGUUACAAUGGGGAGUACAGAGGGUAGCUACCACGCGAGUGGAUGCCAAUCUCUUAAAACUUUUCUCAGUUCGGAUUGGAGUCUGCAACUCGACUCCAUGAAGUAGGAUUCGCUAGUAAUCGCGCAUCAGCCACGGCGCGGUGAAUACGUUCCCGGGCCUUGUACACACCGCCCGU
rnacentral:rRNA from 1 species